GCUUCGAUCUUCUUCGCUCCGUCUUCGUCUACGCAGGUUUCAGCUUUCUCGACUACUUCAGUCACCUCCUUCACCGGUUCCGGUACCUCGGCUGCUGGUGCUAGUGGAGCCGGGGUGAUCUUCUCUUCUUCUUUGCACUCGGCCGCAGGUUCCGAUGUCUCCGCGGUCGGUGGAACGGCCUUCUCUUCCUUACUCUCAACCACAACCGUCUCCGGCUCUGGUGUAGAUUCUUCCUUCGCAGCCGUCUCAUCACAAGCCUUAGCUUCUUCUUCAACGGCCUUCGCAGCUUUCUCCUCUGCCGGCUUCUCCUCCUUAACAGGUGCCGGAGGAGCGGUAAACUCAUGCUUGUUAAGCGCCUCCUGAACCAACUGUUUCAGUUCAUCCAACGCCUUCUUCUGUGGAUCAGGAAGCUCACCGGCAACAUUAGAUUCCUCCUUGAACGAAGCCGAUUCAGUAAUCUUCUCCUUCUCCUCUUCCACAACUUUCACAGGCUCCUCGACCACAGCCUCAGGUUCCGGUGGCCCAUCUUUCUCAUAAACGACAGUUGCUUCAGCCUUCUCCGCCUCUGGAACAACAGCAACUUCAGCAGCCGCUACCGGAGCCUCCGAUGCUGCCGCCGCCGUCUUCAAAAUCUCUUCCGCCAUGUAUAACAACAACUA
rnacentral:lncRNA from 1 species